GUUUAGCAUCGCUAUGAACUAUAUUAUUAUACUUCAGGGUGAAAAAGUAUGAUACAAAUAUAUUUAAUAUAUAAAUUAACUUUUUAAGAAGUAAUUUAUAGUAUUAUACUUCUUAUGAAGUUGAUUUAAAAAUAUAAAUCAAACAAGAUAUUUUUCUGCAUUUCUAAAGAAAUGUUAUUUUCUUAAUCUAUUUAUUCUCAAUUAAAUAAGACUUAAACAAGG
rnacentral:misc_RNA from 1 species